rnacentral:tRNA from 1 species
GAGGGUAUAGCUCAGUGGUAGAACAUGUGCUUAGAAUGCACGAGGCGCUGGGUUCAAUCCCCAGCACAUCCA